GAAAAAAGAAAAUGGAAAUACAGAGGUUCGUCUUCAUCGUCAUCUUCCUCCCCACCUCACGAACUCAACCUUCCCAAGCUCACUCCUUCACUCUCUCUUCUCUCGGUAAUGUUCAUCAACACUCACCAAACUUCACAUUUCUCUCAAUGCCACUCUCGUUCUCAACGAACCCCUCUCAAUCACUCUCAGCUCACACAAUAAUUUCAACAACAAGCACAUGAGAAAGAUAAAAAGAAAGAACGAGAAGUACUUACAAAGUGUCACGGCGGUGGUGGUGAAGGACACGAAGAAGCUGGCCUCCAGGGUUACAAAUUGGUGCCCUUGUGUUCAAAAGUAGCUCUGCAAAGCACUUUGGAUGCUCAGAAAUUGAAUUGCCCUAUCCAUGUUAGAUUCAAGAAAAGGUUUUGCAAAUUGACUGAUUAAUGUGUCCCCUUUUUUACCGCAGUAAAAAAAUGGU